rnacentral:rRNA from 1 species
AUACGGAGACCUCGAGCGUUACUCGGAUUCACUGGGCGUAAAGGGUGAGUAGGUGGCCGAGUAUGUCAGGUGUGAAAUCCCGGGGCUUAACCCCGGAACUGCGCCUGAAACUACUUGGCUAGAGUCUCGGAGAGGAUAGUGGAAUUCCAAGUGUAGCGGUGAAAUGCGUAGAUAUUUGGAGGAACACCAGUGGCAAAGGCGACUAUCUGGACGAGUACUGACGCUCAAUCACGAAAGCGUGGGUAGCGAAAGGGAUUAGAUACCCCUGUAGUCCACGCCGUAAACGUUGCACACUAAGUUUCGGAGGAUUCGACCCCUUCGGAGCUCAAGCUAACGCGUUAAGUGUGCCGCCUGAGGACUACGGCCGCAAGGCUAAAACUCAAAGGAAUUGACGGGGCCCGCACAAGCGGUGGAGCAUGUGGCUUAAUUCGAGGCAACGCGAAGAACCUUACCUGGUCUUGACAUGCCCGUCAUAGUUUUCCGAAAGGAAUUCGUCAGUUAGGCUGGACGGUGCACAGGUGCU